rnacentral:tRNA from 1 species
GGAAGGGAAUCGUAUCCCGGUGGAGCGCCCGGACUUCAAAUUCGGCGGGACGCGCAUGGCGUGUCUGGUGGGUUCGACUCCCACUCCCUUCCGCCA